rnacentral:rRNA from 1 species
AGAUUCCAGUUGAUCCUGCUGGAGGGUACUGCUAUCGGAGUCCGACUAAGGCAUGCAAGUCUACGCUACCCCUAGGUAGCGUGGCGGACGGCUGAGUAAGACGUAGACAACCUACCCUGAGGACGGGGACAACCACGGGAAACUGUGGAUAAUCCCCGAUAGGAGAUAGAUACUGGGAUGUUCUAUCUCCCAAAGGCCCUUGGGGAAUGGCUCAAGGGCGCCUCAGGAUGGGUCUGCGGGGGAUUAUGGUAGUUGGUGAGGUAACGGCUCACCAAGCCGAUAAUCCCUAGGGGCUAUGGAAGUAGGAGCCCCCAGAAGGGCACUGAGACAAGGGCCCUAGCCCUACGGGGUGCAGCAGCCGCGAAACCUCCGCAAUGCGCGCAAGCGUGACGGGGGGACUCCGAGUGGUAUAGGUCUAAGCCUAUACCUUUUCCCGAGUGUAAAAAGCUCGGGGAAUAAGGGUGUGGGCAAGACCGGUGGCAGCCGCCGCGGUAACACCGGCGCCUCAAGUGGUACCCACGAUUAUUGGGCUUAAAGCGCCCGUAGCCGGCCGGGUGUUUGCACUGUGAAAUGCUGGGGCUUAACUCCAGCGCGCGCAGUGUAUACUACCCGGCUAGAGAGCGGAGGAGGGAGAGGGUACGUCCAGGCUAGCGGUAAAAUGCGUUGAACCUGGAUGGACCACCAGUGGCGAAGGCGCUCUCCCAAGACGCGUCUGACGGUGAGGGGCGAAAGCUAGGGGAGCAAAAGGGAUUAGAUACCCCUGUAGUCCUAGCCGUAAAUGAUGCCCACUGCUUCUUGCUAAGGCUCUGUGCCUUAGCAGGGGGUAAGCGAAAGCGUUAAGUGGGCCGCCUGGGGAGUACGGCCGCAAGGCUAAAACUUAAAGGAAUUGGCGGGGGAGUACCACAAGGGGUGGAUGCUACGGCUUAAUCGGAUACAACGCCGAGAACCUCACCCGGAGAGACAGCUGGAUGAGGCCUUAGCUGAAGACUAAGGCCGACUAGCUGAGAGGUGUUGCAUGGCCAUCGUCAGCUCGUGGUGCAAAUUGUCCGGUUAAGUCCGGCAACGAGCGAGAUCCACGCCCUUAGUUGCUAACCCUACCUCCGGGUAGGGUGCACACUAAGGGGACUGCCCGCGUUAAGUGGGAGGAAGGAGUGGGCGACGGUAGGUCCGUAUGGCCCGAAUCUCCGGGGCUGCACGCGGCAUACAAUGGGCAGGACAACGGGCCGCGACUCCGAGAGGAGGAGCUAAUCCUUAAACCUGCCCUUAGUUCGGAUCGAGGGUUGCAACUCACCCUCGUGAAGCUGGAAUCCCUAGUAAUCGCGGGUCAUCAUCCCGCGGUGAAUAUGUCCCUGCUCCUUGCACACACCGCCCGUCAAGUCAGCCAAGCGCGGCUGGGGUGAGGGUCUCUCGGGCAACCGGGAGAUUCGAACCCUGGCUGCGUGAGGGGGGCUAAGUCGUAACAAGGUAUCCGUAGGGGAACCUGCGGAUAGAUCACCUCAAAUU